UACGUAGGGGGCUAGCGUUGUUCGGAAUUACUGGGCGUAAAGGGCGCGUAGGCGGUCCUUCAAGUCAGGCGUGAAAGCCCCAGGCUUAACCUGGGAACUGCAUUCGAGACUGCAUUGCUAGAGUAUGGGAGAGGGAAGUGGAAUUUCCGGUGUAGCGGUGAAAUGCGUAGAUAUCGGAAGGAACAUCAGUGGCGAAAGCGACUUCCUGGACCAAUACUGACGCUCAUGUGCGAAAGCGUGGGGAGCAAACAGG
rnacentral:rRNA from 1 species